GGAUCAUCUUCCUCACCGAAACAUAGGACUACAAAAAAUCCCUAGACCUAAGACCUCCCCCAGCCGUUCCCUCUUUUUUCAUCUAGACACCCACUCUAAUUCCCCUUAACCAAUCUCCAGCCGUCAAUUCACCACCGCAACAACUAGCCGCCGCCGGAACAAUCACCCACCAGACCCCCCAUCAGCGGUCUCUCUCACAAAAACCCGUGAGCCGCCAGCCAUACCAUCACUCUUGGUCUCUCUCUCGUGGUUGUCACUGCCGACGUCGGUCGACGACCACCCCAACGACCAUCUCCCUCACUAGCAAAACCAACCCGAACCCAGCCACGAAAAUUAGAUCCAAAAACUGCCCCUAAUAAGCUGAAAACGACAAUGAAACAGCCCCCUCGAACCGACAAAAUGAGCCGCAAAAUAGCUACCUGAAGCUCGCAAAAUCGGCUACGAAAAGCCAUAGUUUUCAUCACUCUUUAACCCUCCAAAAAUAUCCAAAAUUCAGAACAUUUGACCUGAAAAAAUAGCCACUAUACCAACUGAAAAAUAGUAACAAACAACGCUGGAAAACUCCAACGUCCAGCCACACGCAACCAACUGCAAACGAGGUCGUCUGAGGUCAGGUUUGUAUGUCUUCCGUCGAGGUUUCCAUUGAGAUUCACGAGUCCAAUUCGGUUCGAGUUUUCCGCCACCUUUGCUUCGGGGUUGUGUUAUGCUUAUUCAUGAAUAAAAUUUCAAAAGAAAUUUGCUGAAAGUUCGAGGUCCACCUGGUCAAGUUUUAAGGCUCGAGCUUGCGGUUUUGGAUUUGUUGUUCGUUUGUAUUUUUGCUGAUUUUCCGUCGAGGUCCAAUGUACAUUCGAUUGAAGAUAUGUCAGUAAACAAAUUCACGAAAAAGUUUUUGCCGCUCUAAGGUCCACUCGUACCCCUUUUCUUGAAAUAUCUGAUUCUCGUUAAGUGGUAUUGAACUUUAUUGAAGAAACUUUUGCUUAGUUAUCUUAUUUUAGCUAUUAAUUGAUGCUUAGGCUUUUAGUUUAGUAUUCUGGGUUUGGGGUAAUGCUAAAUGAAAGAAGAUAUUUUGUCCAUGAAUAACUUCUUUGACUCGAUCUUGUUUAUAUAUAUAUUGUUCGCUGCUAACAUGCUUUAGGCUGACCACACUUGGGUAGGCAAGCUUAGGGUUUUUGUUAGUUUAAAGGCAAGAGGUCAUUCCCUUGGCCAUAUUUAUCCGGUAUAUGCCACGAAGGGUUUGUAUAUAUAUUUUGAACCGGGGAAUACCCGAAGUAAAUGUAAAUGGAGGUCGUGGCAUUAUAAAUGGAGGCUUAGUAUAGGCUAGCAAGACGUUUUUCAUUUUGUUUUCUUUUUCUUUUAUUAGGUGGGUACGACCUGGAGCCUCUUGUGUGUUUAUUUUAUUUAUGUGUGUUCUACCUCAAUCGAAUAUUUUGAAAGCCAACUAGAUCAAGUACGCAACCAUACUAGCUACGGGACUUGGGGAAUGCCUAACACCUUCUCCCCGAAUCUCGGGUGUAGACUUCGUUUUAGAGUCUCAAGUGUUUUAAAAGGAAAAAUAUUUUCUAAAAAAACGGUUGCCUGGCACACCGAAAUCAAAUGUCAGGUGGCGACUCUGAGUUAUUUUCCUUUUGAAAUAAUUUUUUGUCACUUUUCAAUUGAAAAACACUUUUUCAAGCUUUACUAAUCCUUUUAUUAAUUUAAGAGGGUUUAGUAGAGGUUUGAUUUUUGCUAAUUGCUUAUGUGUUUACAGUUUUUGCCUUAUGUGUUUACUGCUUUAUAACUGUCACCAUUUGCAUAACCCCGAGUCUUCCUUGUGCAACAAGUCUUCCGGAGUACGUUUGAGCGUACACAACCUCUUUGUGAGUCACUUGUAUCUUUAGGGGGUGGCAUGGGAGCGUGGAGCGGGCGGACAGCUAGAGUAGCCGCUAUCGACCAUGUGCCUUGUCUAGUGAACCCCAACCGUAAGUCAGCCUUUAGGUCAUGCUUAUUUGCAUCAUAUCAUUUAAACCUAGCAGGGUUCGGUCCCAGGAACCCUAUCGCGUUGUAGGGGGCCUAUCCAAAUUAUGUCAAAAAUGGGCUUAUGGCCCAAGAACACAUUCAAUCAUCCCAAUGUGAUACAUGAUGCAUCUUUGAGGGUAAAAAUGUCAUUUGGCAGAUCGAUAUUUGGAGAGAAAGGUGAAAAUUGAAGCUAGGAGGACCCACUCGUAUUUUUCUUUCAUAGUCUUGCAAAAAAUUAAAAAAAUCAAAAAUAGAAAAUCAAAAAAUAUUUUACACUUUUCCAUCAUUUUAAAAAAUUCAAAACUGAAAAUAAAAAAAAACAAAAAAAAAUUUAUACUUUGCCAUAUUUUUCAAAUAAAUUCAUAAUAAAUGAAAAUGAAAAAUCCGAAAAGAUUUUACACCUUUAAAUUAUUUUCCAAAAAAAUUCAAAAAAAUGAAAAUGAAGAAAAAUCCAAAAAGAUAUUGCAAUCUCCCAUUAUUUUUCAAAAAAAAUAAAAAAAAAAGGGGAAAAAAAAAGAUAAUCCCAAAAUGAUUUUGCAUUUUUUCAUUAUUUUCUAAAUAAAAAAAAUUGAAAAUAGAAAAUCGAAAAAGAUUUUAUAUUUUUCAUUAUUUUCCAAAAAUUGAAAAAAAAGGACAAAAAGAAAAUCCAAAAAGAUGUUGCAUUUUCCAUCAUUUCUUCAAAAAGACAAAAAUAGUUUUUUUUUCAAAUUAGACGCAUGUUUUAAAAUUAUAUCUUAUAUUUAAUCUUUCCAAACUACGCGAACCUGAUUCUCAUCUUUCGAGGCGAGAUACGUAGGCAACCCACAUAGGGUCCGGUCUUCCUAGUCUUAGUUUCUUGGCUUUGCGAGGUCCUAGCCAAAUUUUGCAUAUCUAGCCACUUUAGGCCACAUCGGUCAUUGUUGCGAAAUGGGAUCAUUUUCACAAAAGUUGUUCAAUUACCCAUGACUUAGGGUCCACAACUAGGUGUCAUUGUACUUUAAGGUCCUUCCUUUUCGAGUUUGCAUUUUUAGCCACAUUUGGCCAUAUAGGCCAUUUUUGCAAAAUGGGCCUUUUUUGCAGUAAUUUUUUUAAGGCCAUGAUUGUUGAGAUGUUAGAGUCAUGCAAGCUUUAACUAGAUCAUUUUUCAUUCAUUAGGAGGUCAACUUUGUCAAGUUUGCAGUAAUAGUCACUUUCAGUCACUCAAGUCAUUUUGUAAAAUAUAGUCAAAUCGUGUCUUGCAUCUAUCCAUUAGGAAAUUUUAUGGAAUCAUAGCGUCUCGAGUCACCAAUCUAUUUGGUCUUAUUUUUCUCAUUCAGGUAUGAAUUCAUUUACCACAGCUCGAGCAUAACUGAUACCCCGGGACCAUCACAUUUAGGAGCUGUUUGAAGAGACUUUUUAUUUUGAGUAUGUUUGAUAUUAUUUUUUUGCUUUCUAGUCUUGUUUGUCUGGACCACUGCAUUUAGGAGCUACUUGUGGAGUCUUUUUAUAUUUUGAGCCUAUUUUUUGAGUCUUUUGGGGGGUUUAAGAGUUUUUCUAGUCUUUCAUUAUCAUACUUCCUAUUAUGUAUUUGAAAAAAAUGUUAUAAAGAAAAAAUCCAAAAAGAUUUUUGUCUCUUAAUUUAUUUUCCAUCACCUUUCAAGAACUACGCUUGAUCUGAUUCAUGAGGUGCAUUAUACGUAGGCAACCUACAUAGGGUUUGAUCGAAAUAUUGAAAAGAAAAAAAAGAAAAAGAGAAUGAAAUUGUGGGAUUUAAGAAAAUAGUGGAAAGGAAAGAAUGGUAAUCAAAAGAAAAGGGAGGAAAGAAAAUGAAAAACCAAUGAGGGUUAAAGAGAAAAAUGAAGAGGAAAAGGGGAAAUAAGUGAACAAAAUUGGGAUGAUGCCAAAUGACCUUGUGACCUCGAAGCCAUUCUAGAACCGUUAAUUGUUUUUAGGGGUAGGAAUAAUGAAAUUGGGAUGAUGCUAUAUGACUUUCGUACCCUCGAAGCCAUUCUAGAACUGUUAAUUGUGACUAGGGGCAUUGCACGCAGUGUAGUAUUUCUAUCUGAUAAAUGCUCUAACACUAACAUGUUGGCUUUGUUUUGCUCCUUUUUGUUACUUUUAUUGUUAUCAUAAUAGAGGGUGGUUAGUUUGUGAUAUUUUGGUGAGUCAUCCGUACAACAUAAGGUCAAAUAUCAAGUGAGACAUGGCUUGCAAGGACUUGGACAUAAGAGUUUUUGACCUAUCAAGGUAGAUCGUAGAAUUAGAAUCGGAACUGAAAGAGGAGAUCAGAAGGUUGAAAAAAUAGAUGGCAGAAAUGAAUCAGUCUUGGGUCAGCAGGCACCCUCCACCUUCAUUCCCUACAAACUAUACAGAAAACCAUGCCUUCAUUCUACCACUAUCCCAGCCCAUAUUCCCAAUACCGCUGAUCUUUCCCCUCAACAUGCACCGAAAUGUACCCCUCAUCACAAUUACCCUGGCACUUCCUUCCAAACUUCUCAUGCUCAACCAGCCAAACCAACCUCAUACCUCGCUCCGACCUCGGUUCCGUUUUUGUAGCUCCUCUACUAGCUGCUCUUCCUCGAUCCUCCAGUGAGACUGUGUCCCAAGUCCUUGAUGCCCAAGGAAAGAAACCCAAGGAAGGCUUUAAGGAGUUUUGGUUAAAAUGGAACGAACAAGUUACUUGGAUCAGUCCUCCGAUUGAUAGAAAAGGUGUUGUCGAGCCCAGCCAGCCACAAAAUACAGUGAUUAUCUCUACUAAAUGCUUUCAGCCUCGACCGCGACCCCAACUCCAAACCUAUCCCCGAGCUCCACAUAAUCCAUCUCAGUAUUUUCCUCCAAACAACGUCCAGUCAUUUUUUCAAUCACUGGGUCACCCCAAAAGGCGAGCGCUAGCACCGCAAAAUCUUCACCAGCCUUCACAAAAUUUUCAAGUGCCCUAUAAUCCACAUCCAAGCUAGGGGUGUAGAGGUAAACAAAGGUUGAAAGAUGAUUUUACACUGAUAGGAGAGUCAUAUGCAAACUUGUUUUAGAAACUAAAGCAUUAUGAUUUGAUUGCACCUGUUCCUCCGAAUCAUGUGGACAAGCGUGCAAGAAGCUUUGACCCUUAUAAAAGGUGUGAAUACCAUUCCAAUGACCAGGGGCACAAUGUCGAAAGUUGUCAGUAACAUUAUGAUAAAAUUGCACCUAUCCUCCGAAUCACGUGGACAAGUGUGCAAGAAGAUUUGACCCUUAUAAAAGGUGUGAAUACCAUUCCAAUGCCCAGGCACGAUAUCGAAAGUUGUCAGGAUUUGAAAAGAGAGAUAGAAAGAAUAAUUCAGGAAGGUACAGUUGUUAUCCAGGACAGUGACACACAGAAUCCUUUACCUGCACAUGAUGAUGCACACUUUGGUGACAUGCUGACUGGAGUUAACGAUAUUGAGAUUGGUGAAGGUCCCAGCAAUUUGGAUGUGCAGUCCAGCGGCAAAGAUGCAAGCUUGCUGAUUUGAAAGACACUCCUUUCUCGGCUAUCCGAGGAGGAGUUUUGGUAUUUUAUUUUGUUGUCAUUUCUGUUGUCCAGGUUAUUCCACUGUUGUAGUCCGAAUAUUAUCUUGUGGCUCAAACUCUUCUUCUUUUUUUAGCCUAGUUUGUUUUAUUGUAGUAACUCGUCCAGUGUUAUCUAGGUUGUUCCAAGGUUGUAACCCGUUUCUAUUUUGCUUGUUUUGUUCAAACCCUGUUCGCCAUCUGUCUAUUGCAAUCUCCUAUUUUUUGCUAAUUCUAGUCCGUUUUUGUUUAGGACAAUUUUUCUUUUAUUGUUUUUCUCAUUCUGACUCUAGUAACAUGACAUGCACACAUAAUUCUCAGCCUGAUCUUGAAAGUUAGUCUAAUCAUGAAGCAGUGGCACAGUUUUGAAUAUGAUAAAAGGACGCAAUUUGAGGAGAAAAUUAAAGAUUCACACACUCUGAGAUAACCUGAAGCUUAAAUUGAGUGAAACUGAGGUAGUAAGUCUGGGAAAUCAAGAGGUUCAGAUGAGCAUAAAACAAGGAAAUGCCUCUCAAGUUGUUUGAGGUAAAUCAGUCAGUGCUGAAAUGCAUUCUUCCAUAUCGAGAUAAGGUUGCGUCGGGUAUGCUUCAAGCUGGCAAGGAUCAUUCAUUGGGACAAAAGUAUUACCCAUUGACACUUUUUUUUGUUGAUGUCAUCAAGAUACUAUGCGUCAUUUGUUUGCUUGUCUUCAAUUGCAUGCUUGUACUUGCCAUUUUCUAACUUGGUAUGACGAAGGCAUUUUAUUAUGCUACCCAAACACUUUUAUCCAUUGCUACCCAUUUUGAGCCCUAAUUUUUGUUUCAUAACCCUCUUUUGGAAUCAGAAUUAGAGUUGGGAACUAGAAAAGGAAAAGAAAAAGAAAAAAAAAGAGAAAAAGAAAAAGAAAGGAAAAAAAGGAGAAAAGAAAAAAGGAAAAAGAAAAAAAUAUAGAAAAUAAAAAGGAAAAAAAACAAACAACUUUGUCGUUUGAACUACGUUCGACCUGAUUCUUGUCACCACAAGAUACGUAGGCAAUCUUAGGGUUCGGUCGCACCAAAUAAAAUAUUGCAUAAUCCCCGAAGUUAAAAGUGGGGCAAUUUUUCUUAGAAAUCCCAUUGAAAAAAGCUUUAAAUAAAAAGAAGAAAAAAAAUUCCCCUAACCCAAAGAAACUGGGGUAGAAGUUUUAGUUGAGAGAGAUAAAGAGAGAGAGAGAGAGAGAGAGAGAGAGAGAGAGAGAGAGAGAGAGAGAAUAAUCCCCCCAAACUCCGAGAAACAGGGGCAAAAGUUUUAAUUUUGCCAAAAGGCCUGAUUCCAAAAGUUGUAAUUUCGAACCCUUUCAUCUUAAAUUAUUUUUAGCCUUCAUGCCACCCCUUCUUUCUAACCCUGUGCAAAAGCCUACAUUACGGUCCAAAGAAAGACCUUCUGACCAAUCUUUGAGGAUGCCAAAUCAAGUGUGUGGUGAGAGUAUGAUCUUCCGGCAUCAUGGGUAGCACCUUUGUUCUCAGAACAAUGAGAAAAAAAUGAUAAAAUGAGAGUUUUAUCGGUGAUAACCCUCAGGGGCACCGUAAGGCGACAAUGAGCUGAAAAAGAGCAAAAUGAGAGAGGUUUGAUGGUUAAGAAAACACUUCUGGGCACUACAAGUCGACUGAGGAUUGUGGAGCAGAUAGGACAAUUGGAGUGAUAAACCCCAGUUUCACAGCUUAGAUGCACAACGAGAGCUGAAUAUUAGACAUGCUUGAGAGAUUAAGCCACCUAAUCUAAGGGUGCAUGUCAUGGUCAUUAGAGUUGGUAUCCACAUCUAAUAAGUUUCUACUUCGUAAUUAUCUUGUUAGGUAUCAUCUCUUUCCCUUGUCUCUGAUUUUGUUCCUCUCGUUUUGUUUGAGUCCCUUCUUGAGUCUGUUUGGUCAGAAUAAGUGAGAAAUGAAGUCAAAAUUUGCUACCAGCUUUCCAAUUGCACAAAGCCGAGUCUGGCAAGCAUAUCAAAGUGGCAUAAGAUAUAAGGGAAUAAUGUGUGCAUUGAGUUGGUAAUAAUCAUCAUGCUUUGGGAUUCAUGUGAAAUGCAAGGGUAUGAUAAAUGUCAAUUCAUGAGCAAAAUGCAAAAACUAGAGGAUAUUGGGAUUGAAUGGAGCAAAGGUGUUUUCUGCGAUAAGGGUUGAAAGGAAACGGGUGGUCGAUAACAGUCAAGGUCGUCCAAGUUGAAAUCAAAGUUAUUUUGGCAAGUGUAGAAGCAUCCACCUUCAAGGUCAAGGCCACAAACUAACCACCACGUUUUCAAACUAAUAAGAUUUUAUUUGUAUGAAACAGGGGCAAAAAGUUUGUUAAUCCACAGGGACCUCCUAGGAAAAGGCAUGGUUCAUGGGCAAGAAAUUCUGUUCAGAAUCCUCCCAGAAGAGAGCAUGGCUCAGGUAAAUUCUCAGGACCCUCCUGGAUAAUGGGAUUUAAUUUAAUAGUUUCAGGACACUCCUGGGUAAUAAGAGUUAGUUUUAAAAUGCUCAAGACCCUCCUCGAUAAUGGGAUUUAGUUAUUAAAAUUCUCAGGUCCCUUCUAGAUAAUGGGAUUCAGUUUUAAAAUUCUCAAGACCCUCCUGUAUAAUGGGAUUUAGUCUUAAAAUUCUCAGGACCCUUUUAGAUAAUGGGAUCUAGUUUUCAAAAUUCUCAGGACCCUCUGGGAUAAUGGGAUUUAGUUUUCAAAAUUCUUAGGACCCUCCUGGAUCAUGGGAUUUAGGUUGUUAUAAAAUUAUCAAGACCUUCCUGGAUAAUGGGAUUUAGUUUUUAAAAUUCUAGGACACUCCUUUAUAAUGAGAUUUAAUUUUUAAAAUUUUCAGGACCCUCAUGGAUAAUGGGAUUUAGGUAUUUAAAAUUCUCAGGACCCUCCUGGACAAUGGGAUUUAGCUUUUAAAUUCUUAAGAGUUCUGUAGGUGAUAUGAUCCGAUUAACACUCACAAAUAUGCAGAUCCCAAACUGGGGCAGAAAAAGUUUCUUUUGUUUUGUCUGUUUUUUUGCAGUAUCAGGCGCCCACUUAGAUAACGAGGGAAUAAAUUUCAUGUUUUAGCAAUCAGACGCCCACCUCGAUAAUGAGGGAAUACAUUUCAAGUUUUAGAAAUCAGGCGCCCACUUGGAUAAUGAGGGAAUACAUUUCAUGUAUUAGCAAUCAGGCGCCCACUUGGAUAAUAAGGGAAUAUAUUUCAAGUGUUGCAAUCACGCGCCCACCAGGAUAACGAGGGAAUACAUUUCAAGUUUUAGCAAUCAGGCGCCCACCUGGAUAAUGAGGGAAUACAUUUCAAGUUUUUGCUAUCAGGCGCGCACCAAGAUAAUGAGGGAAUACCUUUCAAGUUUUUGCAAUCAGGCUCCCACCUGGAUAAUAAAGGAAUAUAUUUCAUGUUUUUUGCAAUCAGGCACCGACCUAGAUAACGAGGGAUACAUUUCAAGUUUUUGCAAUCAGGUGCUCACCUGGAUAACGAGGGAAUACAUUUCAUGUUUUAGCAAUCAGGCGCCCACCUGGAUAACGAGGAAAUACAUUUCAAGUGUUGCAAUCAGGUGCCCACCUGGAUAACGAGGUAAUAUAUUUUAAGUUUUAGCAAUCAGGCACCCACCUGGAAAAUGUGGGAAUACAUUUCAUGUUUUAGCAAUCAGGCGCCCACUUGGAUAACGAGGGAAUACAUUUCAUGUAUUAGCAAUCAGGCGCCCACCUGGAUAAUGAGGGAAUACAUUUCAAGUGUUCCAAUCUGGCGCCCACCUGGAUAACGAGGGAAUAUAUUUCAAGUUUUUGCAAUCAGGCGUCCACCUGGAUAACGAGGGAAUACAUUUCAAGUGUUGCAAUCAGGCGCCCACCUAGAUAAAGAGGGAAUACAUUUCAAGUUUUGCAAUCAGGCGCCCACCUGCAUAUCGAGGGAAUACAUUUCAAGUUUUUGCAAUCAGGCGCCCACCUGGAUAACUAGGGAAUAUAUUUCAAGCUUUGCAAUCAGGCGCCCACCUGGAUAACGAGGGAAUAUAUUUCAAGUUUUGGCAAUCAGGCGCUCACUAGGAGAACGAGGGAAUUAAUUUCUGAACUACUUCAACUCAUAAAUUUAAGAAGCAUCAGGAGCCCGCCUGAAGAGCAGGGUCCAUUUUUCAGUUACAUAUUGAAGAUCAAGUAGAGGUCCAAGGAUGAUUCCAAACAUGAAGUUGAUAGGAUCUUGUAUUUUUCUUUCACUCUUUCUGUAAUUUUCCCUUAUGUUUAUGAUGUAAUGGCAGGAACCACGGACUGGAACCUCGACGGCACCUUGAUCGGCUCUCAACCUCGGUACACUCCAUCAUCUCAUUCACUUCUGAACUACACGUGGCCUGAUUCCUUUAUAGCCAAGGAUAUGUAGGCGGCCCAGAUACUAGGGUUCGGUCACAUUCCCUUUUCUCUUAUGUUUAGUCUCCCCAAAUAAGGUUCAGGUCAAAAAACAUGUCUAGUCAUUUUUUGUCUAAAAAUACUUUGUAUUUCCAGUCAAAUAGGGACAAUUGUAGACACGUGAUUUUUGACCCUCCCCGAAAUUUUACCCAUUUUAGCGUAAAAUAGUUAAUUUAGGCUUAAUAUAGUUAUUUCAACCAAUUUUGACUAUGUUAUAUUAUUUUAAGAACAAAAAUUGAAACUACAAAAAUAGUUCUAUAUUUCUCUACUUAGUUCGCGUAUUAGAUAUUUUUAGGAGGAUAUAUUACUUUAAGCCUAUUAUUAUUUAAAUAUAAUCCUUGAAAAUAUCAAAAGUAGUUUUAACUUUAAUUGUUAUUUUAUUUUAAUACAAAUAAUGUAUCAAAAUUAAUGUAGAGUUCUAUACGUAUUUAAUUUGCUUUUAGGUCUAAAUUUGCACAUGUAAAAAUUGUUCUAUAUUUAUCUACUUAGUUCGCGUAUUAGAUAUUUUUAGGAGGAUAUAUUACUUUAAGCGUAUUUUUUUAGUAUAAUCCUUGAAAAUACCAAAAAUAGUUCCAACUUUAAUUGUUAGUUUUAUUAUAAUACAAAUAAUGUAUCAAAAUUAGUGUAGAGUUUUAUAGGUAUUUAAUUUUAAUUUUCAGUUCUUUUUGGCCUAAAUUUGCACAUAUUGAAGCCCAAUUUUAAAACCCACCAUCCAAAGGACCAAUUUUGAGCCCACUUCUUUUAAUACAAGAACAAGACUACAAAAAAAACACCAAGCUUAGGAUCAUCUUCCUCACCAAGACAGAGGACUACAAAAAAACCCUAGACCUAAGACUUCCCCCAGCCGUUACCUUUUCUUCAUCCAGACACCAACCCUAGUUCCCCUUAACCAAUCUCCAGCCUUCAAUUCACCACUGCAACAACUAGCCGCCGCCGGAACAACCACCCACCAGACCCCCCAUCUGUGGUCUCUCUCAUGAAAACCCGUGAGCCGCUGACUCUACCAUCACUCUUCGUCUCUCUCUCGUUGCUAUCACUGCCGACCUCUGUCGGCGACCACCCCAACGACCAUCUCCCUCACUAGAAAAACCAGCCCGAACCCUGCCACGAAAAUUAGAUCCAAAAACUGCCCCGAAUAAACUGAAAACGACAAUGAAACAACACCCUCGAACCGAAAAAUCAGCCGCAAAACAGCUACCUUAAGCUCGCAAAAUCGGCUACGAAAAGCCAUAGUUUUCAUCACUUUUUAACUCUACAAAAAUCUCCAAAAUUCAGAACCUUUAACUUGAAAAAAUAGCCACCAAACCACCUGAAAAAUAGUCACAAACAACGCUGGAAAACUCCAAAGUCCAGCCACACGAAAUCAUUUGCGAACGAGGUAGUCUGAGGUCAGGUUUGUAUGUCUUCCGUCGAGGUUAAAGUAAAGAGGUCGUUCCCUUAGUUAUAUAUAUACGGGGUAUGCCCCAAAGGGUUUGUACAUAUAUUUUGAACUGGGGAAUGCCCCGAAGUUAAAGUGAAUGGAGGCUGUGGCAUUACAAAUGGAGGCGUAGUAUAGGCUAGUAAGACUUAUUUCAUUUUGUUUUAUUUUUCUUUUAUUAGGUGGGGACGACCUCAAUCCUCUUGUGUGUUUAUUUUAUUUCUGUGUGUUCUACCUCAAUCGAAUGUUUUGAAAGCCAGCUAGAUCAAGUACGCAACCGUACUAGCUAUGAGACUUGGGGAAUGCCUAACACCUUCACCCCGAGUCAAAUGAACCUCCUUACUCGAAUCUCUUGUGUACACUUAGUUUUAAAGUCUCAAGUGUUUUAAAAGGAAAAAUAUUUUCUAAAACACACAGUGGCCUGGAUACCGAAAUCAAAUGUCAGGUGGCGACUCUGAGCUAUUUUCCUUUUGAAACAAUUUAUUGUCACCUUUCAAUUAUAAAACUCUUUUUUAAGCUUUGCUAAAAAUUUUUAUUAAUUUAAGAGGGUUUAGUAGAGGUUUGAUUUUUAAAAAAGGGGGUGUGACAUGGCUGAGUUGGGCAGUGUCUGCUUCUUCAUCGCGUUCACAUUCCCUUGUAUGUGAUCGCAUAUUGCAUUUUCACGGGGGAGUGAAUUUCCUUCUUUGUGAUCGCGAGGUUGCUUCUACCCUCGCGAUUCAUUAAUUCACCCAAUGAUUUUAAAGUACUCUAUUUCAAGGGUUUCUGCCAUUUUUGCAUCUUGGGAGCUAUGGAGCUCGAAUUGAGGCAAUUCUUGAAGGAAUUUUUACCAUAUGAAUUGGAUUAAGUGUUCCCUACUUGGUUUUGGUUAUAUUCCAUGAAUCUAUCCCUAUUUUUGGCAAUUAGUUGAUGAAUUUGGGGGUUUUGGACUAGAGUUUUAUAAUAUAAAUUUUUGAGUUUUGAAUAUCAAAUUGGAGUCGGAAUUGGGUGAAAGUAGCAUGGUUGGAAUCGUAAUCAAAUGGUAUGUUGAAAUUUGGGAGUUUUGUUGGCUUCCGGGGUGCAAGCUUGGGUAUAUUUUUUGCGGGAUAUGGGAUUUGAUUUUAGAUUCGAUCUUUAUCAUUUGUAAUAUUUCAUCUGAUACAUUUGAGUUUUUCUAAGCUAGUUUUGAGUCGUUCUAAGAUCUCUACAUGUGAGAUGGCAUUCGUGGAGAAUUGAUGGACUUGCUUGGCGUCUGGAAUUGGCUUAUUUUAGAUAGGUAACUUUUGUAAACUUAGUGUUGAGGGUAUGAAACCCCAAAUUAUAUGCUAUGUGAUUUGGUGUUUAGGUGAUGCACAUGCUAGGUAACGGGCAUGCACCCUGUGAAUGGGGACUUUGUUGUCUCCAGGGCAUUGAAUAGUGACCCUAUUUGUUGAUAUCUAUUUUUUCACCAUGUGAUAAAGUAAAUUAGUUGUACAUCAUGCUAGAUACCCUGUUUAGGCUUUAUCAUGAUAUUGUUAGGAACCAUAGUGGUCAUUGCUUGCUAUCAUCUCAUUGAUUUCAUUGAUAUUUUGUACUCACAACUCAGUCAAAUUCAUUCAUUCAUAUCUUACCUCAAUGUCAGUUGUACCUAUUGAUACACCAUAUUAUUGUUUUGGGACAGUUUGCAUGACAUUGUGAGCCCGUGGGUGAGGCUGGAGAGAUUGAUGAAUGAGUGAGGCCUAGAAUUAUGAGUGACAUUUAUGGGAUCGGGCUGCAUGCCGUAAUGGUUAUUCUGAUUUAUGAUAGCGCUUCGGUUGAAAGAGCCCUUCUAGAGUCUGUACACACCCUUAGUGAGUGCGGUUGAUUAUAUUCAGGGAAGGAUCUCCCCUUGGCAUGGAGAUUGAUCUUCACCAUGGGGCUGGAUUGGCAUUUUCCUCGGUACUGAUGAUUGAUCAACGAUGAUGUAUAUGCGUAUAUUCCAAGAUGGAUCUUCCCUGGGUUGUAUGAGCCAUAUACAGUACCGAGUGGUUGGGCAUUCAUAUAUAUACCUGAAGAUCGAUCUUCUCCAUGGAGCCGGAAUGGACUUUCCUUGAUGCUACGUGACUAGUGGUCAAUGAUGUAUAUAUUCAGGGAUGGAUCUUUCUUGGGCCGUAUGAGUCAUAUACAUUAUCGAGUGGUUGAGCAUUUAUGAGUGGAGCGUGUGAGUACAUGUUUCAUAUUUGGGAUUUGUGGCAACGACAUACAUACAUUACAUACAUGCAUAGAGAUGCAUUUUCCUCAUGUUAUACGGUAUCACACCAUUCAUGGCUUUGUACACACAUUGACAUGUGGGCGUAGAGGGGUAUUUCACACUUGCUAUCUAGAAAGAAAAUAAAAACUCUUGCUUAUUGUGAAAAGGAUUUUGGGGAAAGUUGCAGUUUUCAAACUUACUCAUAUUUUUUACAAUUUCAGUAAAGGAUUUAGAUUUUCACAAAUAUACUUAAAAAGCGAAGCUAUCUUCAGAAAACUAUGAAAAGGCUGAACAUUCUAUCUCUGAGUUACUUCUUUAUUUACUUUCUUUAAAUUUUUGUGAAUUAACAAAUUGGUUAUUUGUGUUGGACUCGACCGAUGUUACAGCUCGUCACUGCUUUCAACUUAAGUUUAGGUUUGUUACUUAUUGAGUACACAGGGUCAGUUGUAUUCAUACUACACUUCCUGCACAAUGCGUGCAGAUUUACAUGUUGACGUUGCUGUGUUCGAUG
rnacentral:lncRNA from 1 species